rnacentral:rRNA from 1 species
UACGUAGGGGGCGAGCGUUGUCCGGAAUCAUUGGGCGUAAAGAGCUCGUAGGCGGCUCAGUAAGUCGGCUGUGAAAGCCCGGGGCUCAACCCCGGAACUGCAGUCGAUACUGCUGUGGCUAGAGUCCGGUAGAGGAGGGUGGAAUUCCCGGUGUAGCGGUGGAAUGCGCAGAUAUCGGGAGGAACACCAGUAGCGAAGGCGGCUCUCUGGGCCGGUACUGACGCUGAGGAGAGAAAGCGUGGGGAGCAAACAGG